rnacentral:rRNA from 1 species
UACGUAGGGCGCAAGCGUUGUCCGGAUUCACUGGGCGUAAAGGGUGCGCAGGCGGGUUUGCAAGUCAGCGGUGAAAUCCCUCGGCUUAACCGAGGAACUGCCUGUCAGACUGGAUUGCUUGAGGCCGGGAGAGGCGAGUGGAAUUCCCAGUGUAGCGGUGAAAUGCGUAGAUAUUGGGAGGAACACCAGUGGCGAAGGCGGCUCGCUGGACCGGUUCUGACGCUGAGGCGCGAAAGCGUGGGGAGCAAACAGG